rnacentral:rRNA from 1 species
GACGAACGCUGGCGGCGUGCCUAAUACAUGCAAGUAGAACGCUGAAGAGCGGAGCUUGCUCUUCUUGGGUGAGUUGCGCACGGGUGAGUAACGCGUAGGUAACCUGCCUUGUAGCGGGGGAUAACCAGUGGACACGAUAUCUAAUACCGCAUAACAAUGUGUUACACAUGUCAUUUAGUAGAAAGUGGCAAUUGUUGCACUACAAGAUGGAUCUGCGUUGUAUUAGGUAGUAGGUGAGGUAAUGGCUCACCUAGGCGACGAUACAUAGUCGCACUGAGAGGGUGGGCAGCCGCCCUGGGAGGGAGACCCGGCCCAGAGGCACUGGGGAAGCAGCAAUAGGGAAUCGUGGGCAAGGGGGGCAACACUGACCGAGAAGGGCCGAGGGAGUAAAGAAGGUUGUCGGAUGGGAAAGGUCUGUUGUAAGUCAAGAACGGGUGUGAGAGUGGAAAGUUCACACUGUGACGGUAGCUGAUCAGAAAGGAACGGCUAACUACGUG